rnacentral:rRNA from 1 species
GACAGAGGGUGCAAACGUUGCUCGGAAUCACUGGGCGUAAAGGGCGUGUAGGCGGGAAGGAAAGUCAGAUGUGAAAUCCCCGGGCUCAACCUGGGAACUGCAUUUGAAACUCCCUUUCUUGAGUACCGGAGAGGAAAGUGGAAUUCCUGGUGUAGAGGUGAAAUUCGUAGAUAUCAGGAGGAACACCAGUGGCGAAGGCGGCUUUCUGGACGGUAACUGACGCUGAGACGCGAAAGCGUGGGGAGCAAACAGG